rnacentral:rRNA from 1 species
AUGUCUGUGAACUCAAUCUAUUUCUUCAGGCAAGAGAGGCUUAAAUUUUGGUCCGAUCCUGAUACUGAGUUGAAACUUGCUAAGGAAACCGGCAUUAGUGUUUUCCGCAUGGGCGUAGACUGGACAAGAAUAAUGCCUAAGGAACCAACUGAAGAUUUCAAGAGCUCGGUUAAUUUUGCAGCACUUGAGCGGUAUAGAUGGAUCAUUCAAAGAGUUCAUGAGCAUGGGAUGAAAGUAAUGCUUACCCUAUUUCAUCACUCACUUCCACCUUGGGCUGGGGAAUAUGGUGGAUGGAGGAUGGAAAAAACUGCUAAUUAUUUCAUGGAUUUUGUAAGGCUUGUUGUUGACCGUGUGUCAGAUUUAGUGGACUACUGGGUGAUUUUCAAUGAGCCACAUGUGUUUGUGAUGCUAACUUAUUGUGCUGGAGCUUGGCCUGGUGGGGAUCCUAAUGCAAUUGAAGUAGCAACAUCUGCUUUACCAACUGGUGUAUAUAAUCAAGCUUUGCAUUGGAUGGCUGUUGCACAUGCUGAAGCUUAUGACUACAUUCAUUCAGAAAGCAAGAAUGCAAUGAUGCCAAUAGUUGGUGUUUCACAUCAUGUAUCGUUUACACGGCCAUAUGGUCUAUUUGAUGUUGCGGCUGUCACAAUAGCUAACUCAAUGACCCUAUUCCCCUUCAUCGAUAGCAUCUGUGAUAAGUUGGACUUUAUUGGCAUCAAUUACUAUGGUCAGGAGGUAAUAUCAGGACCUGGUCUAAAGCACGUGGAAAAUGAUGAGUACAGUGAAUCUGGUCGUGGAGUUUAUCCCGAUGGGCUGUUUCGCAUCCUACUUAAGUUCAAUGAGCGAUACAAGAGCUUAAACAUACCUUUUAUCAUUACUGAAAAUGGAGUUUCUGAUGAGACUGAUCUGAUUCGGAAACCAUAUAUACUGGAGCACCUGUUAGCCAUAUACGCGGCCAUUUUAAUGGGUGUGCGUGUGCUUGGCUAUCUAUUCUGGACAACGUCGGAUAAUUGGGAGUGGGCUGAUGGCUAUGGUCCCAAGUUUGGGCUUGUUUCUGUUGACCGUGCUAAUAACCUAGCACGGAAACCUCGCCCUUCGUACUAUUUGUUCACCAAGGUACCUUCUAGUUUCAGCGAAUCUUGCUAA